UAGCCAUAUAGGUGCAAAGAGGACACAUUUGAUUGAUUAACCCACGAAAUAUUUGUUUAGGGCAUGCAUGAAUCUAUGUUAAUAUAAAAAAUAAAGGCAAGAUAAUGGGGACGGGCACAACCACCGGUGUAGGUAGAAAGUUGGGAAGGUAAGAUAUAGACGGGAAUUUAAUGUUUAUCUGAAAGCAACGAUAAACUACUGCUUACGCUUAUUGUAAUUUAUGUAUUUAUAUAUACAGAUAUAUACAACUAUAGAUAUCCGACUGCCUAUGCCCUCUAGUGAAAAUGUUGAAGUUAAUAAAAUGGAGGUUUUUUUUUUAU